AUGGAGCAAGUAACGGGAUUCCUUUCAUCUACACGGGAGAUGUACAUUGUGUUUCCAGCUCUCGACUUAGGCCUCAGUCUUGCUCCAGACCCAGAAAUUGAGGGCUUUUGGAAUGUAUGGGGCAAGGAUGUUAUAUUCCUCGGGGUCACCAACAUCACAAAAAUAGGUUCCUCGCCGGUUAUUAUUGAGUUCAGUGUUGCAAGGCUGCAGACUGAAAGCCCAAGUAGUUGCUGUGGAAAUGAUCAGAUUCACGAACCAGAAAAAGUGGUGCUGGUCCUGGUUGGAGGCUACUUAGGAUGCAAAACCGUCAUCAUGAAGCUCAUUAAUGAUGGCACAUCUGUCUGCCUCUAUAGCCAUGGUCAGGUGGCUGAGAUUGACUGCUACCAUGUGAAGUGACAGCUGGCAUGUGCAAGAAAAAAAUCACCCAGAUAUCAAGGAUCAAGUCUUGUGUGAAAGUAUAUAACUGCAGUCACCUCAUACCUACGAGGUACUCUGUGGAUAUUCUCUUGGACAAAACUUUGGUCAACAAAGAUGUCUGCAGGUAACUUGCUCUUAAAUGCAAGACCUGAUGAGAGGCCAAGUUCAUAUUCAAAGAGAGGUACAAGACCAGCAAGAAGAAACCAUUAUUCCAGAAGCUGCAGUUUUAGAUAUCUUUUUAGUUCCAGUCAUUAAAACUUGAAAACAAAACCAAAAAAGCAAGACAUGAAGGAUCAAUAUUUUGUAGAGAAAUUAGCUGUAUUACAGAGUAAAGCUCAAGAAAUUUUUAGAAAUACAAAAAUAUCCUACUCCCAACAUUGUAAAACUUAGUGUUAUAGCCCAAAAGUAAUUACUAAGCAAAUGGACAGAAAAAAAGAAUUAGGUGAAAAAAAUAUUGCUUGUAUAUGCUUAUAAAUGCUUUUGGAGAUUAAACAUAGUAUACAUAUUAGAUGAAACACAUAUUCAAACAGUUAAUAUUAUAAUUCAUAUGUUUACAAAGAAUGAAGAGAACUUAAACAUGUUAGCCAGGGAUAUGGAAGAAGUAAAAAAAUCAAUUGGAAUUCUAGAGAAAGAAAUCAUACCUGAGAUUUAUGAAAUUUCAAAUCUUGUAAGAGAUUGACAGGAAAGUUGGAAAACAUAUCAAUAGAAAAAAUCAAAAAUGAAUCACAAAGAGAAAAGAAACUAAAAAUCAAUAAAAAUUAUUAAGGUGAAAAACAGCUUAAUGAAUCUUAAUACUUAAAUGGAGUUUUUAAAGGGGGAAUGGGGAUAGAAAAUAAUAGAUGAAAAAUAAUGACUGAAAACUUUAAAAAUUUGUUGAAAACUCUAAAACCAAGAUCUAAGAAUCUCCAAAUGUUUUUAGCAAAAGAAAUUACAAUAAAACUUCAUAAAACAUAAAAAGAAAAUAUUAGACACACAUACAGGGUAAACACAAACAUUGACGUAUGCUAUGUACAGAGAAAUAAACAAUGGACUUCUUGUCAGAAACAAUGUGAAUUAGAAGACAAUAGAACGAUGAUUUAAAGAACAGAAAGAAAAUAUCAAUACAUAAUUUUAUACACUAAAAGUACCUUUCAAAACAAAGGAGGUAAUAAUGACCUUCUCAGACAUAUAAAAGCUAAAAUAAUUCAUUAUUAAAAUCUAACACAGAAACUGUGAAUGGAAGCUUUUGCACAAAUAAAAAAUUAUCAGUGAUGGGAUUUUAAAUAUAAGAAAGAAAAAGAGCACCAGAAACAGAUAAGAAAAUAGUGAAUAAAAUACUUCAUUUAUAUUUUUAAAACCUGUCAUUAAAAAAUA